AGAGUUUGAUCCUGGCUCAGGAUGAACGCUAGCUACAGGCUUAACACAUGCAAGUCGAGGGGAAACGACAUCGAAAGCUUGCUUUUGAUGGGCGUCGACCGGCGCACGGGUGAGUAACGCGUAUCCAACCUGCCCACCACUUGGGGGAUAACCUUGCGAAAGUAAGACUAAUACCCAAUGACGUCUCUAGAAGACAUCUGAAGGAGAUUAAAGAUUUAUCGGUGAUGGAUGGGGAUGCGUCUGAUUAGCUUGUUGGCGGGGUAACGGCCCACCAAGGCGACGAUCAGUAGGGGGUUCUGAGAGGAAGGUCCCCCCACAUUGGAACUGAGACACGGUCCAAACUCCUACGGGAGCA
rnacentral:rRNA from 1 species